CCUUUGACCUGUGGCUGAGUGGGAGAACCGGUGUUUGUCUGAAGCCAACUCGUCAGCAUGACUUAGGAGUGCAGUAAUUAGUGUGACCAGUAAUCAAGUCCUGUCUCCUUUAAAUUUAAAAAAAUAAGUCUUGAAAGAAUUUUCCAGAAGAAGCCAGCAGAGACCUAUCCCUUUACAUUAAGUACCAAAUAAAGCCGUCCCCACUGGCAUUUCUCCAUCCUCAUCCAUGCCAGUUACAGCCUCACAGCCGAGAAUGAAGUGGAAACUGUCCAUGUGGGAGAGAAACAAGGCACUAUGGUGGAAGAGAGAAGAGACUGGAGCGAGGAAACCCUGAGUUCUCACCUUAGCUGAUGACUGAAUGGGGUUUGGAAAGACAGUUGAAAAGAGAAAGGCAUUCCAGGCAGAGGCAGAGCACAUGUGGAGCUGUGGGAUGCAGAGCUAUCUGGAGAGAUGGUGAACUGCAGGGAGGGCGUACGUCUGGGGAGCAGGGUAUCUGGUGGCAGGAGCACAGAGGACAGUGUGAAGAGAUUCUCACCAGACACUUAUCUCCAGACCUCGGUCCCUAGUUCUUCAGCCCCACUCAGGGAUCGCGACCUAGUACUAGUAAAUGUGACUUCCAGAGCAAGUACUAGAGGACCACUCCUUAAUCCAGUUGCACCUGUUCAUUCUUCAUGAUUUCGCUCAGGUGGCAUCUCUUUGAGGAGCCAUUCUUAACCUUCUUGGCGAGGUAAGGUGGUCCCCAAGGAUGGUCCCAUAAUGCUCUCUCUCUCAAUGUACUCCCUUGUGUUGCAGUGAUCUAUUUAUGUGCUUGCCUUCCUCACAGACUGGGAGAAACACAUUAUUACCACCGCUACCACCUCCAAUUAGCAGACAGGACUGUUGGAGCUC
rnacentral:lncRNA from 1 species